AUGCAAGCAGAGAGGAGUGGCAAAGCGGGUGUCACCUCAGGUGGGCUUUAUUGCGACAUGAGUGGAUCCUCCCGGAGGCAGGAAGUCACAGUGAUGCUAUAUUGGUUAAGUAGAUAAGAUAGAUAAGUGCUUUCUUAAGGCUGCCGGCAUGUGAUUACGCUUACGAGUGGAAACAGUGUGCGAGUUGUCCAUGUACAGUAAGUCCCUGGCCAGACACGAAAGGAGGGGGAUGGCAGAAAUUAUAGACCAGUGAUUGCAAACCACUGUUUGGCGGCACAUCGGCGAGCUGUCAGAGAUCAUCAGGUCUAAUGGAAUUUUAUUGGCAUUUGACACAGUGGGGCGUUAAGUGGGAUGUGGUUUCAGCGCAUUCAGCAGAACGAACAGCUUGCUUUUUCACCAUGUUGAAGCCCAUUUUAUAUCCUUUUUAAAUUAUUCAAAUUUGGCACGGUUGUGAACUGCACUCUUCUCUGUGGUGUGUUGAAUUUACAAAUCAUAUUUUCGCUUUACAUGGACUUUAAAUGCACAUCCACAAAACUGUGUAUCCAGUUGUCUUCAUUCAUAUUACAGAACAAGUCAUGGCACGUACACACGAUUUACAUUUGUGAGUAAAGCAAAACAUAUUUUUGUGAUAUUUUUGUAUGGUGGUGUGCCGUGAAAUUUUUCUCAUGCCUCGAGUGCGUCAGGAAACACUUUAGUACUCAGAACCAUGCAGACAUUACAAUGUAACACAACUAGAAUGACUUCCAUUCACUUCACUUCUUGGCAGUGAGAUUUCAGUUGACUGAUAAAGUUUAACGAUAGUGACAUAGGAGUUUUGUUUGCACGCCCAGGAAACACCCAUUUUCUUUAUCUUGGCAUGCCACUAAACCUUCUCUGGAACUUGUGCCUCCACAAUAAAUCCAUUAAAACACCUGCAUAUAUUGUUCACUCUUAAAAUUUGACUUCAUUUUCCUCCUUUCAUCACAUUCACAAGUAACAUGUUUUCUCUUGCAUAGUAAAUAAUACUGGCAACAUUUUCAUGUCUGCUGUGGUAUAUAAAAGGUUCAUCUCGUGAGAAAUGACACUGAUGGCACAAUUUAAUUUAAUAACUUAACCCUUCCAGGGACAGCGGUUACCACAGUGUGCAGCAUAUCAUGUUCUCAGGUUACAGGGUGCAUUAAAGGGUUAAUACUGUCAGUUGUCUAGUAUUUUUCUAUACCAGACCACACAUGUACCAUAGUAGGCUUCAUGACAGCACACAUUUUUUGCCUUCUAAAUAGUGGGACUGCAGCGUUAAGGCCUAAAGGCCAUUUGCUGGAUUUGGCCUCCGGGGAAAGAGAACACACGAGGUGUGUCAGAAACGUUCCGCAGAGUAACUACCAUGUAUUUUGUUAUUUAGAUCUAUUUUACAGCAGUAUGACCCACCCAACGCUCUUCCACAUGGCCAUAAACACUUCCUAUUAGGGAGGUGGCAAUCCAAUAUUUUUAGAAUUUAUUAUUCUAUCAAUCAUUCCCUAUGUUCUACUGUAGUAUCUGUGACUUUUGAGUGUGUCUGCCUUUCAAAGGCAGGGCCUGGCCUGGUGACAGAUGUGGGCGUAAGAAGCGAAUGAGAGAGGAGGGCAAGGUAAUUAUUUAACAG